AACAAGGUAUUUGGAAAGAAGCCACAUCUAUUUCGUCUUGAAGCAAAAUUGGGUCUCGCUGCUUGAAAGUUUAAGAAGGUCUCUUUCUUAUCCCUUUUUUUUUGGCGCAAUUAAUGAUUUUUAUAUAUAUAAUACGAAGAUUAUAGAUGUAAUUUUUUUUAUUUCUAUUUUCCUUUUUGUAAAGGGGAUUUUGAGGAAAUAGCUUCUAAAUAAAUACAAAUUCUUAGCAUAGAAAACUGUUAAAGAAGAUAAAGACUAUGUCUCUUGCUUAAACUUCAAAAAAUUUGUCAUCUUAAUCACAUUUAGAUAUUUGUUAAAUUAUUGGGUUAUUUUGUAUUACUUCCUGUUGAAUUUUCUACAUGAACUUUUUCGAUUUGCGUAUGUUUAGAAAUAGAUACUCGAUUUCUAGCUUCCCCUUAGAAGUGAUUAUUUUUAAAAAAAUCUAGGAUAGAAAUGUAAAUAUUACUAUAGUUUUCUAAUUGAAGGAUGUUAUUAGGAGUGGGAUAUAAACAGAUUUGUAUUUAUGAAUUUCUCCACUUAAUUUCUAUUUGAAAUGUGGGAAUAUUUUUUUUUACAUGCAACAUGUUUGAUUUAAUCCAUGAAAUCAUGUGGGUCUAUUUCAUUGGUUUUUUUGGGCCCAUUUUACUGGAUAUUGAAUACAUAUAUGUGUUUUUUCUCCAAUAAAUAAUCUGUGUGACACAUUAUACCCACGCGUAGAACACCAGUUGUUGUCGCUAAUGCUUACAAGGUGGAACAAGAAAUACAAAAUCUUAUUUCAAUGUGCAUUCUACCUUCAAUUCCAUCUCCAUGCUACACUGAGCUAUCUCUUGAUUUUUCAUGAUACUGAACUCCUAUUAUGCAAUUAUUUUGCAGUAAAUAGAUGUUGACAAUCAAAUCUCACUAUACUGAAUUCUAAUUUUUAGUUUCUAUUACAGGUGGAGUGUAAAUUUUAAAAUUCAGACUCAAAAUAUGACUAUUGAUACAUCGUCUCAAUUUAGAUGACACUAAAAUUCAAAGCGUCUCAGUUGGCUUCCUACUUGCUACGCUCAUUGAUUUAUCAUGUGAACUCUUGACUAUUGAUUUUCUCCAGUAAACUUCAAUUGUAAGUUCCUCUCGCCCUCUCACUUAUCUACUUCUUUUUUACUCUCUUUGAUUUAUUCUCUAUUAAAUCUCUGCAUUAGUAAAAUAUAACUCUUAGCAAAUUUAUUUUACAUUAAGUUGGGUUUCUAAGAAUUUAAUCGCUCUAACAUUUUGCAUAUGGAUCAGGCGAUUGAAAGUUCUCCAAAUGAACAUAAAAAUUUUGGAGCUCAAGGGGAAAACCAUGAGAGGGCUGCAAUGAAGCU
rnacentral:lncRNA from 1 species